rnacentral:rRNA from 1 species
UGAGGAAUAUUGGUCAAUGGACGCAAGUCUGAACCAGCCAAGUAGCGUGCAGGAUGACGGCCCUAUGGGUUGUAAACUGCUUUUAUAUGGGGAUAAAGUGGGGAACGUGUUCCCUUUUUCAGGUACCAUAUGAAUAAGGACCGGCUAAUUCCGUGCCAGCAGCCGCGGUAAUACGGAAGGUUCGGGCGUUAUCCGGAUUUAUUGGGUUUAAAGGGUGCGCAGGCUGUGCAUCAAGUCAGCGGUAAAAUCUCGGGGCUCAACCCCGUUUAGCCGUUGAAACUGGUGUGCUGGAGUGUGCGCGAGGAAGGCGGAAUGCGCGGUGUAGCGGUGAAAUGCAUAGAUAUUGCGCAGAACUCCGAUUGCGAAGGCAGCCUUCCAGUGCAUGACUGACGCUGAGGCACGAAAGCGUGGGUAUCGAACAGG